AAUAAUUGCAAUUUUAACACUGUUUAUGCUCAACGUUUGACUGUUCGUCAUAUUUAAAAAAUAAUUAUGAUUAAUAUUUUUAUUAUUAUUAGAUGAUGAUACAUGAAUAGUACUUUAUAUGUGACUAAUAUUUUUAAUUUAUUUUAUAAAAUUUUUAAAUAAGAUGUACAGUCAAAACGCAGGACUCGGAUAUCUAUGGCUGCAGCUGGC
rnacentral:pre_miRNA from 1 species